rnacentral:rRNA from 1 species
UGGGGAAUUUUGGACAAUGGGCGCAAGCCUGAUCCAGCCAUGCCGCGUGCGGGAAGAAGGCCUUCGGGUUGUAAACCGCUUUUGUCAGGGAAGAAAAGGUUCUGGUUAAUACCUGGGACUCAUGACGGUACCUGAAGAAUAAGCACCGGCUAACUACGUGCCAGCAGCCGCGGCAAUACGUAGGGUGCAAGCGUUAAUCGGAAUUACUGGGCGUAAAGCGUGCGCAGGCGGUUAUGCAAGACAGAGGUGAAAUCCCCGGGCUCAACCUGGGAACUGCCUUUGGGACUGCAUAGCUAGAGUACGGUAGAGGGGGAUGGAAUUCCGCGUGUAGCAGUGAGAUGCGUAGAUAUGCGGAGGAACACCGAUAGCGAAGGCAGUCCCCAGUACCUGUACUGACGCUCAUGCACGAAAGCGUGGGGAGCGAACAGG